CAUUUAAUUAUUUUUGCUGCUUACAGGUUUUUUUAAACUAUAAAACAGUCGUGCCCAACCUAUCGCCCGUGGACCUAUCUUAGGUCGACCGCAACAGGUUCAAUAAAAUAAUUUGCUGUGGCCUUCAAUUAAUCAAAUAAUUGGCAAAUCAUUAAUUUUAUCAACGUGGGAGAACAAAAAAUAGGAAUCUUGUUAGUUACGUACUGUAUACGGCAACACGCAGAAAAAUAUUUAAGAUGGCGACUACUUUGACAUAAAAAUCAGGAAACCAUAGUCAUUUAUUUACAAUAAUUUCCUCAACCUGGUCUGCAUGAUUUGUACACUAGCAAUUCUCUGUGCCUUGAACUAAAUAUUUUUGACUAAGUUCCCCAAAAGUUUGACGCUUCCGGAUAUUUUUAAGAACCUUAUAGUUAUCGAUCGCAACAAACGUUGGUAGCAUGGCUGGAAAACGAGCCAAGAUUUUCAUGUUUAUUCGUUUUCAAAGUCACUUUGUUUAAUAUGCAACACAACUGUAGCGUUGGCAAAAAAAGCAAAUCAGAAGUGGCACUUUAAAAAGGAACACGGUCAAACGGGGGCUAUGAGAGGGUUUUUCCUGCAAAAACACAACUAGGGGCCUCUUAAAGAUGAAGAUGGCAUGUGACGCAACAAUCCUUAUUGAAGCGCUGUAGUUGCUUGGACAGAGGAUAAGCGCAUACAAGAGUAUUUCGGCAUGUAUACAUUGGCGCUAGCUACGCAUGCAGUUGGUUACUUGAAAAGAGAUCUUGGAUCAAAAAAGGUUUGGCACACCUGCUAUAAAACCUUGUUAGCUAUUUCUUAUUUUAUCUGGUGCUAAUUUGUUGGGCUAUUCUUGUACUAUACUAUGUACAUUUAUUUUAUUAAGAUUAGGUUUCACAAGUGAUGUAUGUUUAUUAUAAAUUGUCAGCAUAAAUAGAUAGAGAUCCUACACUUUUUUAAUUCUGUAUUUCAUUUUCUAUACAGUAUAUGUUACUUUUUAUUAUUCGUCUGAUCCAAAAUCAAGUUUCAUUUCAAUAAUUAGCAUCAUUUCAGCAGUUGACAUUGCUGUAGUUUAAAAUAUAUAUAAUAGGUAUUCUCAAUUUAAAAUAGUUAAGUUGGGUAAUAAAAAAACAGAAAACAUGAACUUUUGAUUUUCUCCCCAAGUAAUAAACUAAAAAAAAAAGUUUUAAUCUUAAGGAACAGUAUUCAUCAAAUUUUAUUCAAAAUUUUGUGCUGUUUUUAUUCCCCAGACUGUGGGGUAAAAAAAACAUCAGCGGGGCAAUAAAAAACAAACUUUUCCUUGUUUUCACAAACGCAAAAUAUCUCCUACAUACUUUUAACCGCCUUGUUCUAAAGCUUUUCUUUUAUAAUUUAUCACUUUUAUUUAAGUACUUCCUUUUGAACAUAAGCUUACCCACAAAUACUAUUUAUUAGUCUCAAAUUUUUUUCCCACAAAAGCUGUUUGUGAUAAAAAUGAAUUUUAGCGGGCUAGGGAGGUUGUCCUAUCUUACUCCAAAAGUACCCCAUUGUGCUUAUUACCCUACUUUACUAUAUUUCAUUAAAUUUAGUGAUGUACCGAAGUUUAGGUUGGCCAAAUUUAUUUUGCUGAAUCAGCGAUUUUGACAAAGAUUUGGUAUAUAGCCCAAUACAAAAUGUAUAAAGCAGAAUACAAAAUGUAAAUGUUGUAAUAUGAUAUUACAAAGUAUUCUCCCGGCAGAGCUUGGACAGAAGCCAAAAAUAGUAGUUAGCAGGUGCUGCAUGAGAACCAAAGUUUCGUGAAUCACAAUUUCAAGAUAUUAAUUUUACCCAUAAAAUAUUUUAUUUUAAAUUUUUGUACACUUGUUACGUUAUGUAUCACUCAAAAUUCAAAGUUUACACAUUUUUUAUAAAUUAGACAAUUUUUAUACCACUGACUGCUUGCAAAUUGGACUGAGGUUGCAUUUCAUCAGUUUCCCCAAAAAUGAAUUUAUUUCCCUAGCCGAGGCACGGCGUAAAAUAUGAGGCUCAUACUCGAUGUUUUUUGUCACAAAACUUAUUCCCUUUUUUGUGGAGCACAGAUUUCAUCAAUAGUUACAGUAAAAAAUUAAUGAGUUUUCAACUCCACGUCCUGUAGCAAUAGAACCACCGACCGCCCGUUGUCGCAGGUUCCGAUGUCAUACGUGAUUCAGUUAAUAAUAAUG